UACGUAGGGUGCAAGCGUUGUCCGGAAUUAUUGGGCGUAAAGAGCUCGUAGGCGGCUUGUCGCGUCGACUGUGAAAACCCGCGGCUCAACCGCGGGCCUGCAGCCGAUACGGGCAGGCUAGAGUUCGGUAGGGGAGACUGGAAUUCCUGGUGUAGCGGUGAAAUGCGUAGAGAUCCGGAAGAACACCGGUGGCGAAGGCGGUCUGCUGGGCAGUUGCUGACACUGAGGCGCGACAGCGUGGGGAGCAAACAGG
rnacentral:rRNA from 1 species